UACAGGGGGGGCAAGCGUUGUUCGGAAUUACUGGGCGUAAAGGGUUCGUAGGUGGCCACUUAAGUCAGACGUGAAAUCCCUCAGCUUAACUGGGGAACUGCGUCUGAUACUGAGUGGCUUGAGUGCAGGAGAGGGAUGCGGAAUUCCCGGUGUAGCGGUGAAAUGCGUAGAGAUCGGGAGGAACACCAGUGGCGAAGGCGGCCUGCUGGGUUCUGGCUGACACUGAGGCGCGACAGCGUGGGGAGCAAACAGG
rnacentral:rRNA from 1 species